CAUUUGCCCGAGGGGUACAGCGGGUAUGCGAAAUGGAAUAAGAACAUUCGCACAACACAACUCCGGAGUGUCUUCACCCACGAGUCCGCGGUCCCCCUAAAGUCGACGAUACCCUCCUGUGGUGAGUAUGUCCAUAGUCCUCUUCGCGGAGACGUGUGUGCCACCACCUGGCGUCCGACAUGUAACGGCAAAUGCAAUCGUCAGAGUGCGACCGAUAUCAACACGUUAGUAUGCAAGCCGUCACGUCCAGGCGCUCUGUGCUUGCAUUCUUAAUUCACCAAAAAUGGAGCCGCGCUGACAGAGCUACGCAAAGUGCUGCUGCACGUUACUAGUAGCAAGCUCGUCGCCGGGUCGUCGGGGAGGCAAAUGGAGACAGUAAGAUGUCUUCGUUGCGUUGAAGUCGAACUGAUCCACAUCAGAGUCCUCCGGAGGAUAUGAUGCAGACCAAGGCAUACUUGGAUCAGCGCCACCUGAACUUCGCAACGUGCGCGACGGGCUCUCGUUUGCGAACCUACAUUUAGCGUCCUCUUCAGCUCCCAGUGCAGGCAGAAGGAUGUCACUCCUAUCGAAGUCAUACUGGCUCCACAAUGCCGGUUGGCUCGCAGCGCGCCCGACACUGCCGUCGAAAUCAUUGGACAGAUUGGAAUUCCAUCGACACUGAAUGUUCUCUGGUGGAGCAACUAUUGGUCUCAGACUUGGGGAAAGAGGAAGCGCCGUGUAGCUCCGUGACUGGACGUGCCUCGUCGGACUCUCAAGCUCGUGACACCGCGCAUGCAGCUGCGGCAAGCUUGCUGUCACUUCGGCCCGCACCCUGGUGUCUGGGAUGUCGAACUUUGCCCCAUUAUCUUCAAGCUCGCUCGAGGCCUCACGCAUCAGCCCUGCCAGCCCAUCGAGUAGAAGUAAGGAAGCAGAGAGCAGAGACUGCGUUGCAGGGGAUUCGUGAUCAGUCGUGACGCUGUGGCCGGGCAACUCCUGCACUGUCCCGGAAUUCCCGUCUGGUACGAAGAUACGAUCUGAACCUGCACAGUCACGAUUUUGCGUCGACGCAUACGACGAAAGGAAACCUGCUGAAGCCGACGCCCCCUUCUCCGGCACUUGCUUCGGAAGGUGAGGAGGAAAUAGGCAAGGAGAGGAGGGACUCAGAAAGCGGGAAGACCGGGAUAACACCGACAGCGGCUGAGCUGGCUCGUGCUCGUUCAUGUCAGGCCCCAAGUGCUGCUGUUGCAGCUGAAGCAGCUGCAUAUGGAGAAGAUCACCUGCUAGUGCCUCUUCGUAUUUCGGGGCAUCGGAAACAAGACUUGCAGUUGGCAUGUCCUCGCGCACCUGGUUGUCAUACUGAAGCCUUGGGCGUGGGAGAGAAAGUCGUGGUAGCGUGGGAACAUCCAGUCGACUGGGGCUCUCUCCACUGUAUACGUGCCGCCCUUGUGCAGAAUACCUAUCAGGAAAAGGAUGCCGACGGUCACCCGGGCUCAACCUGCGCCCCA
rnacentral:lncRNA from 1 species